rnacentral:rRNA from 1 species
AGUGAACGCUGGCGGUAGGCCUAACACAUGCAAGUCGAACGGCAGCACAGUAAGAGCUUGCUCUUACGGGUGGCGAGUGGCGGACGGGUGAGGAAUACAUCGGAAUCUACUUUUUCGUGGGGGAUAACGUAGGGAAACUUACGCUAAUACCGCAUACGACCUACGGGUGAAAGCAGGGGAUCUUCGGACCUUGCGCGAUUGAAUGAGCCGAUGUCGGAUUAGCUAGUUGGCGGGGUAAAGGCCCACCAAGGCGACGAUCCGUAGCUGGUCUGAGAGGAUGAUCAGCCACACUGGAACUGGGACACGGUCCAGAGUCCUAAGGGAGGCAGCAGUGGGGAAUAUUAGACAAUGGGGGCAAGCCUGAUCCAGCCAUACCGCGUGGGUGAAGAAGGCCUUCGGGUUGUAAAGCCCUUUUGUUGGGAAAGAAAAGCAGCAGGUUAAUACCCCGCUGUUCUGACGGUACCCAAAGAAUAAGCACCGGCUAACUUCGUG